AUAAAUAAAAGGCAAACCCGUCGAAAGUCGGGGGCGCAAAGCUAUGGGUCUAAGGCUGAGAAAGCUAUGAUUGCCAGGUUGCUUUA
rnacentral:ncRNA from 1 species